UACGGGAAGCAGCAGUAGGGAAUCUUCCACAAUGGGCGAAAGCCUGAUGGAGCAAUACCAUGUGAACGACGAAGGUCUUUUUGAUUGUAAAGUUCUUUUAUGAGGGAUAACAAAUGAUAGUACCUCAUGAAUAAGUGACAGCAAACUAUGUGCCAGCAGCUGCGGUAAUACAUAGGUCGCAAGCAUUAUUCGGAUUUAUUGGGCGUAAAGCAAGCGCAGGCGGAUGUGUAAGUUCUGUGUUAAAAGUAGCUACUUAAUAGUUGUUUGCACCGAAUACUACAUGUCUAGAAUGUGGUAGGAAGUUUUGGAAUUAAACAUGGAGCGGUGGAAUGUGUAGAUAUGUUUAAGAACACCGGAGGCGAAGGCGAAAACUUAGGCCAUAAUUGACGCUUAGGCUUGAAAGUGUGGGGAGCAAAUGGGAUUAGAUACCCCAGUAGUCCACACCGUAAACGAUGGGUAUUAGGUAUUGGGGCUUGAGCCUCAGUGCUGUAGCUAACGUGUUAAAUACCCCGCCUGGGUAGUACAUAUGCAAAUAUGAAACUCAAAGGAAUUGACGGGGACCUGA
rnacentral:rRNA from 1 species